rnacentral:rRNA from 1 species
ACGGGUGAGUAAUGUAUAGGAACUUGCCUAGUAGUGGGGGACAACGCGCGGAAACGCACGCUAAUACCGCAUACGCUCUACGGAGGAAAGCGGGGGCUCUUCGGACCUCGUGCUACUAGAUAGGCCUAUAUUGGAUUAGCUAGUUGGUAAGGUAAAGGCUUACCAAGGCGACGAUCCAUAGCUGGUUUGAGAGAAUGAUCAGCCACACUGGGACUGAGACACGGCCCAG